ensembl:lncRNA
GAGCAGGGCCUGUCGGGGGUUCUGGAGCAAGGAGCCAGUCCCCAGGAGUCUCCUCGCCAUCUGCUCCAAAGAAAAGAAAUAACAAACCAGGGGUGGGUGUCAGUCGCUCAGUCCUGUCCAACUCUGCGAUCCCAUGGAAUGUAGUCGGCCAGGCUCCUCUGUCCACAGGAUUUCCCAGGCCGGAAUGCUGGAGUGGGUUGCCAUUUCCUUCUUCAGGGGAUCUUCCCGACCCUGGGAUUGAACCCGGGUCUCCUGCAUUGCAGCAGGAAAAUGAGGGUGCUAACACCCUCCCCCUUCCCAGGGAGGUUGGACCACUGGAACAGAGAUGCGGAAGUGGAAAGCCAUCGCAGACAUAGAGCAUCCUCGUUCUGUACGCCGCUUCUUCCCUUUCAUCAGCCUCAGUAUAUCAGGGGCUUGCCACUUUCCCCAAGAGGGAGACCCUCACCAACCGCCAGCGAGUCCACUGGCCCAUUCCUGACAUGCUGGAAGGGAGGGGUGGGCAGCCCUCAGGUGGACCCCUCCCCAACACCCCAUCAGCAGAGUCCCUCCGAGGUAGCAAAAACCCCUCUCCUGGCCCCACAGCUUUUUCUGGAGUGUUCAAGUGAAAACCUCAAGCCAACUGGUUUUUCUGCUUGCCAGCCAGCCAGGCCCUAACCAGCCACGUGAUACAGCUGGGGCCCAGAACUCAGAAAC